AUGCAAAUGCCAUCAAAAGGACUUUUCCAAGGCUUGUAAUGAGGUUGGGCUCACAAGAAAAAUUGGUUUUUCUGGAAAACAAAAUCCUUGAGUUAAGAGAGCUAUCAUAAUAUUUAACAAUUAAGCACAACUCUCUUUCUCACCAAUCUCACUUAUUCCCAACUUCUUCCCUUUUCUUUUACAUCGAGCUCACUUUCAUGUUUUUCCUCUUUUCUUUUCUUUUUAUCAUGCAUUUUUCUUUCUCUACAUUUAAGCUCAAUGCUUCUUGACAGCUUUUCAAAUUCCCCCAUACAACCCCAAACUUGAACCUUUUCAUCGCAUACAAUUAAGCUCA
rnacentral:lncRNA from 1 species